AACGAACGCUGGCGGCAGGCUUAACACAUGCAAGUCGAGCGGAGUCAGUAAGAGGAAGUUUUCGGAUGGAAUCUUAUUGAUUUAGCGGCGGACGGGUGAGUAACGCGUGAGCGACCAACCUUGCACAGGGGGAUAACGGACCGAAAGGUUCACUAAUACCGCAUGAGACCACGGUGUUGCAUGACACAGAGGUCAAAGGAGCAAUCCGGUGCAAGACGGGCUCGCGUCCGAUUAGGUAGUUGGAGGGGUAACGGCCCACCAAGCCUAUGAUCGGUAGCCGACCUGAGAGGGUGAUCGGCCACAUUGGAACUGAGAUACGGUCCAAACUCCUACGGGAGGCAGCAGUGGGGAAUAUUGGGCAAUGGGGGAAACCCUGGCCCAGCAACGCCGCGUGAAGGAAGAAGGUUUUCGGAUUGUAAACUUCUGUCCUUGGUGAAGAGAAGAAGACGGUAGCCAAGGAGGAAGCCCCGGCUAACUACGUGCCAGCAGCCGCUGUAA
rnacentral:rRNA from 1 species